GGCGGACGGGUGAGUAAUGUCUGGGAAACUGCCUGAUGGAGGGGGAUAACUACUGGAAACGGUAGCUAAUACCGCAUAACGUCGCAAGACCAAAGAGGGGGACCUUCGGGCCUCUUGCCAUCGGAUGUGCCCAGAUGGGAUUAGCUAGUAGGUGGGGUAACGGCUCACCUAGGCGACGAUCCCUAGCUGGUCUGAGAGGAUGACCAGCCACACUGGAACUGAGACACGGUCCAGACUCCUACGGGAGGCAGCAGUGGGGAAUAUUGCACAAUGGGCGCAAGCCUGAUGCAGCCAUGCCGCGUGUAUGAAGAAGGCCUUCGGGUUGUAAAGUACUUUCAGCGGGGAGGAAGGCGAUAAGGUUAAUAACCUUGUCGAUUGACGUUACCCGCAGAAGAAGCACCGGCUAACUCCGUGCCAGCAGCCGCGGUAAUACGGAGGGUGCAAGCGUUAAUCGGAAUUACUGGGCGUAAAGCGCACGCAGGCGGUCUGUCAAGUCGGAUGUGAAAUCCCCGGGCUCAACCUGGGAACUGCAUUCGAAACUGGCAGGCUAGAGUCUUGUAGAGGGGGGUAGAAUUCCAGGUGUAGCGGUGAAAUGCGUAGAGAUCUGGAGGAAUACCGGUGGCGAAGGCGGCCCCCUGGACAAAGACUGACGCUCAGGUGCGAAAGCGUGGGGAGCAAACAGGAU
rnacentral:rRNA from 1 species